UACAGAGGGUGCGAGCGUUGUCCGGAAUCACUGGGCGUAAAGGGCGCGUAGGCGGCCUGAUAAGUAGGGGGUGAAAUCUUGCGGCUCAACCGCAAGGCUGCCUUCUAAACUGUCAGGCUGGAGCACGGUAGAGGCAGAUGGAAUUCCCGGUGUAGCGGUGGAAUGCGUAGAGAUCGGGAAGAACACCAGUGGCGAAGGCGGUCUGCUGGGCCGUUGCUGACGCUGAGGCACGAAAGCGUGGGGAUCAAACAGG
rnacentral:rRNA from 1 species